GACGAACGCUGGCGGCGUGCUUAAUACAUGCAAGUCGAACGGAAAGGCCCUGCUCUUGUGGGGUGCUCGAUUGGCGAACGGGUGAGUAACACGUGAGUAACCUGUCCCUGAAUUUGGGAUAACUUCUGGAAACUGGGGCUAAUACCGGAUAGGAGCUCCUGCAGCAUGGUGGGGGUUGGAAAGUUUCGGCGGUUGGGGAUGGAUUCGAGGCUUAUCAGCUUGUUGGUGGGGUAGUGGCGUACCAAGGCUUUGACGGGUAGCCGGCAUGGGAGGCUGGCCGGCCACAUUAGGACUGAGAUACGGACCAGACUCCUACGGGAGGCAACGGUGGAGAGUAUUGCACAGUGGGCGGAAGCCUGAUGCAGCAACGCCGCGUGCGGGAUGACGGCCUUCGAGUUGUAAACCACUUUCGCCUGUGACAAAGCGUGAGUGACGGUAAUGGGUAAAAAAGCACCGGCUAACUACGUG
rnacentral:rRNA from 1 species